rnacentral:rRNA from 1 species
AGAUUAAACUGAAGAGUUUGAUCAUGGCUCAGAUUGAACGCUGGCGGCAGGCUUAACACAUGCAAGUCGAGCGGUAACAGAUCUAGCUUGCUAGAUGCUGACGAGCGGCGGACGGGUGAGUAACGCGUAGGAACCUGCCCAG